UGUGUGUGUGUGUGUGUGUGUGUGUGUGUGUGUGUGUGUGUGUGUGUGUGUGUGUGUGUGUGUGUGUGUGUGUGUGUGUGUGUGUGUGUGUGUGUUGGGGGGCAUAAGGGGGGUAUAUUUCCUUAUCUAAGGUCCGCAGGCAGUUUUUGAGUCUCUUAUCAGCACUCACCAUAUUGUAUGAGUACAUCCUCCUGUCCAGCAGAGAGCGGAAAACUGUUCCCUCUCUCCCUCCCUUCUCUCUCUCUCUCUCUGCCUGUGUCUCUCACUCUGUCUGUCUUUCUCUCUCUCUCACCCAUCACUCUCACUGUCUCUCUCUCUCCCUUUUUCUGUAAAGUCCAGUACAUUCCCAUCCAAUGGACACCAACUGGAGCACAAUGUCUUCUUUGGGAUUAGAAGGUAAGGGCAAGAAAGAGUAUGGAAAGAGAGAGAAACGAAAGAGCGGUGGAACGGCGACUGGAAGCUAAAUCCAUCACCUGCAUUUACAAAAUAGGUUCUCAGUGAUACACUAGAACCCAUAGAACCUUAAAUAUAAGUUAAUGUUUCUUUCUGAUUUGUUCUUUUGUACAUAGUCACUGAUAUGAGACAUCAGCCGUUCAUUUUAGUAUUUUUGCUUUAAGGACAGGAAGGUGAACAUAAGAAAACUCAGAGAGAGAGAGAAAGAGAGAGAGAGAGAGCGACAGAGAGAGAGAGAGAGAGAGAGAGAGAAAGUUAGUGAGGAGGGAUUAGAAGGUGUGAUGGAAUAGGACGUUGCGUUUGUCACGCAGAAGACAGGCACUCGAGGACAUGAGGACACACUCCAAUAGUGGAGAGUCCAAUGCAAGUGUGUGUAAAGGUGUGAUCAACAUUCUAUCCACAAACAUGACCCCCUCUGAGUGGCGUUUGAACUGAAAAUAAAACUAAAUGCACCCUGAUGAGACUGACGACAAGGGAUCUACAGACAAAACAUCGCAGAUUGCCUGACUAAGGCAUAUGAUUGAGUAUUCGCAAGGAAGAAUAACAAAUCUUCUGAGAAAUGUCAUCAACAUGCACUGAUCCACACAAGCCAAGACGCAAAGACGUUUAACACUUUUGAGUGUGUGAGGGCAUAGAACACACAGAGUUUGAACUCUCUAGCUAGAGAGAGAGAGAGACAGAAAGAAGAAGACCAUGAUGGAGAAGUUGGAGUCCACUGUAUCCCCAUCCCCUGCUUUGUCAAUGACUGACCCCUUAACUCCUCCACACACUCACUCGCCGUGCACCAGCAGCCCCGCAUUUAACGAGGCUAAUGGUACAGAGAGUGACACGAGCACAAACCCCAGCAGUCCUGCUAUAUCGCAACUUACUGAGGAGGCCAAUGUAGAGGAGAAAGCGACAGCAGCUGAACCUGCUACCUCACCCCCAAACACAAACAUCCCUUCCAUUUCUACUUCCACAGCCACAUCAACGUCCAAUUCCACUUCCACUGUCGUCCUCUCCUCUCCUCCCUCUUCAUCCCCUGCUCCACUGCCCCCUAACAUCCCUGUGAUCAGUCUGGCUCACAGUAAACCCCCUCUGCCCCCGAUCCCCAUAACUGCUGCUCAGCUCACCGCACUCCACCCAAUACCCACAGUGCCACACGGACCUGGGGAGCUCCGACUGGCACAGCUAGCCGCCUUCUCUGGGGGUCCGACAGCCACGGUGCCUCCACCGAGAGCUCUCCUGCCUCACCAAUACCUGCCUGGACACCCUUUACUCAAUAGCGCUUUUCUUAGUCCCUCCAGUAGUUAUGGUUUCUUCAGCAACAACCGUGUUAAGAGAAGACCAUCAUCCCACUUUGAAUUGGAUCUCACUGAUUGUCCUCCUCAGAAGCUGGCCAGGCGUGUUUUCACGAACAGCCGUGAGCGCUGGCGUCAACAGAAUGUGAACGGUGCUUUCUCGGAGCUCCGAAAGCUCAUCCCCACACACCCACCAGACAAGAAGCUGAGCAAGAAUGAGAUCCUGCGGCUUGCUAUGAAGUACAUCAACUUUCUGGUGAAGCUGCUGAAUGACCAAGCCAAUGACAGCACCGCACACAGCCUAACGGACAGCACCGAGGAGGACACGAGCAAGAUGAAAGGUGCAAACCAAACGAUGGGGAAUGGCGACAGAGACUGCAGUCAUGUCCUGCACCCGGACAGCACCUCGCCAUCUCAGAUCACGCCGCCACCUCCUGCAGUUCGCCUGGCGUUAGUCACUUCCCACCGUAACAGAGACUCCACUGAUUCAGUCAUCGCUUUGACUGCAUCGCCCGGCUCCAGUUGCUAUGGCGACACAGACAGCGAGGAGACUAUAGGCUCACAGAAUUCAGGGAUUGUUAAGACGAGUAUUAGUGAAGGGAUGAUGGAAAAGAUGAAGGAACAGAUACAGACUGUUAUGGCGGGUGGAUACCACCGAUGACAUCACCUGUGACAUCAUGUUGAAACACUGAAGCACAAACUGACAAAAAGAGGAACAACUGGCCAAAGGUCAUAGGCCAUCCAAGAUGGCUGCCUGUCUAGAGCUGCAUACAUGGUGUCCAGGAAGCAGUGUUCAGUUGGUGCUGUCUCAUCAGCAGCCAGCCCACUUCCUGACACAGAUCAUGGGAAGGAGCUUACGGAAAAAAAACUAAUGAAAAAUGAAAAUCACCACCAAGCGGUUUCUCUGACAACACACACCACAUCCCACAAGGAAGGGAAACUUGCAUAAGUGUGUAACAAGGCCGCAAGGGAGCCACAGCCUCUGUUUCUCAUCCUGAGUAUCAUUUUAGAUGGGGAUGUUAUCAUUUUAGCUGAGUUGUUAAGUAGGCAAUGAGGACAGCUUGUGCCCCCUCCAUCUCUAGACUCUGAUACUGUAUGAAAAGCUCUAGGGGGGCUGUAGUGGGGGCGGCGGAGUGGUCUGUACUGCAGAGAUAAACCUCCCUGCUGGUGCCCUCCGUGCCCUGGAGCAAAGCAUUGUGGGCACCACACCCUCGUUGCUGGCACAGUGCUGGGCCACCUGCUACAUUUCAUAAUUCCUGCUGUGGUUACUGCAGUUACGACAUCCCUGAUGACACGGAGCACUUCCUCUGGCCAGGGUCACAUGCCACAAAGAGACACACACACACACACACAUAUAGUGCUACACUGGAAAAAAACAGUCAAACAGAGCUGGAAAACAGGGUCAAAGGGUCAGCUGUUUAUAUAUAAUAUGUUGCGUUGCAAACAACAUAAAUGCUAUAAUUACUUUCUAACUACUUACGGAUUUCAGCUGGUUCCUUGCUUUACCUUGCCUUGGAGAACUGCUUUUUCUUAGCGUGUUCAAUACUUUUUUCCCCGUGUCAUUCCACUUUAUUACACAUAACUUUAUUUAUGGACUUCAAUGUUGUGAAUUUCUUGAGUAAAUACCAAAGUCUGGUGACAAUUUCAUGUGAAUAGCCUCAUUGGAAAUAUAUUUACUGAAGAAAAUAUUGACGCGUUCAAUACUGAUUUCCCCCACUGUGUAUUAAAAGCAGCCGACCACUGAAUCUGAUAUGACUUGGAGCUGUUUCAGUGUAAUACAAAGCAGUGCAAUAAAUGCGAUACAUUGGUGGGAAGUCCACCAUAAAGUGUUUUGGGUUUUGUGUUGUUUUUUUUUUUUUGAUGUAAACAAACCUUAUAGUUGUACAUUACUUUUUUCCAGUAUGACCACCAUAUUGAAAAACAUCAGGCAUACAGGAAAAACCCAUCCUGAAUGACUUUCAUACUAAUCUUUAUACUUAGCACGUGAAUUCUUUAUUGGCAUCCAAUAGUUAUUUUGUAACGAACUUAUGAGUUUAAACAUCAUUCAUCGGCAUAGACCUUUAGUCUUUUCCAGCUCUCUCACCUCCUCAUCUGUACGCUCUGCACAAACAGAUCAGCUUCCAAAGCUUCAACUUUCAUGCUAAUACCACCGUCAACACCAUCAUCUCAUAAACUGAUUACUAGCCAAACCAAGUCUCUGCUGUCCCCUUGGCCUCGAUUCUAAAUAGAUGGCGUAUUUUAAAAGAGAAAAGAAAACCAUCCUGUGUGUAAAUAAAUAUAAACAAAUAUGAAUCAUUGAAGUGUAUGAUACAAUUAUGUAGAUUAAGAUGUUGUCUCCUUAGCAUCACACUGUACAGUAUUUGCUUAAGAACGCAACACAGUUUUCCACUGACAAAAACACCCUGUAGUGCUACUGCUAAUAUUCUUUCUAUCUGUGGCAGCAUACCAUCAUGGGUUUAUUAAUCAUCAGACGGAUUUAAAUCCUAACUUUUGCAUACAGUUAGCAACAGCCUUCUCUUAUUCAGCAAAUAAAAAAGUUUUAAGUGGUUAUGGGGCACAAUUUCCAGUCUCCCCUCAACUUGUUAUUUUAAGUAGAAAGAUAUG